ACGGAAGGCAGCAGUGGGGAAUAUUGGACAAUGGGGGAAACCCUGAUCCAGCGACGCCGCGUGAGUGAAGAAGUAUUUCGGUAUGUAAAGCUCUAUCAGCAAGGAAGAAAAUGACGGUACCUGACUAAGAAGCCCCGGCUAACUACGUGCCAGCAGCCGCGGUAAUACGUAGGGGGCAAGCGUUAUCCGGAUUUACUGGGUGUAAAGGGAGCGUAGACGGCAUGGCAAGUCUGAAGUGAAAGCUCGGGGCUCAACCCCGGAACUGCUUUGGAAACUGUCAGGCUAGAGUACCGGAGGGGUAAGCGGAAUUCCUAGUGUAGCGGUGAAAUGCGUAGAUAUUAGGAGGAACACCAGUGGCGAAGGCGGCUUACUGGACGGUAACUGACGUUGAGGCUCGAAAGCGUGGGGAGCAAACAGGAUUAGAUACCCUGGUA
rnacentral:rRNA from 1 species